GGGAGGAGCAGCUCCACAACUUCCUCAUUGAUGGUGUCUUUUGGGAAUUGCUGCAAAGACGUGAAUAUUCGUUUUAGUACAAAUAAGAUGCAGUUGUAUACAGCUCUAGCUCAUCAGGCUUGACAUAUUAGUUUUUCAGAUACCUGCAGGCUCCCCAGGAAAUUCCCGGCUGUCAUGAGCUUAAGUGACUCUUGCCAUGAUGGAGUUAGGCAGUUCCUCUCAGUGUCCAGCUUCACGGAGUUCAGUCUCCUCUGGAAGAGCAGCAGCACACAGUCCAUAAUGCGCAUGAUGAGCAAUGCACCAAAUCAUUCUUUUAAUUGGUCAUCAGGAGCCUGAAUCUGACCUGCAGCGCCGCCUCAGCCUCCUCCAGCGCUGGCCUGGCUGCCUCAAGCUUCUCCUCAGCCACAGCCUUGUCUGCAGAGAUGCUGUCCA